rnacentral:lncRNA from 1 species
GCGAUCGGAUUUAGUUUUUUUUUCUUAGGCUCGAGAUUAGCGGGAGUCGUCGACAUUGUAGUUGAUUGUAGGAAUAACGAUCCGGUUCAUAAUUGCAUGGUGAUCAAAGAAGUAAUUGAUAUCGCUAAUCAUCAAUUUUGGUUAAUUAAGUGAGAGAAAUUUGAUACUAAAAUGGAAAUUAGGAUUGGGAAAUCCAGAUUUUGGGAUAAUUAAAG